UACGUAGGGGGCAAGCGUUGUCCGGAAUCAUUGGGCGUAAAGAGCGUGUAGGCGGCCCGGUAAGUCCGCUGUGAAAGUCCAGGGCUCAACCCUGGGAUGCCGGUGAAUACUGUCGGGCUCGAGUCCGGAAGAGGAGUGUGGAAUUCCUGGUGUAGCGGUGAAAUGCGCAGAUAUCAGGAGGAACACCAAUGGCGAAGGCAGCACUCUGGGACGUGACUGACGCUGAGACGCGAAAGCGUGGGGAGCGAACAGG
rnacentral:rRNA from 1 species